GAGAGUUUGAUCCUGGCUCANGACGAACGCUGGCGGCGUGCCUAAUACAUGCAAGUAGAACGCUGAAGAGAGGAGCUUGCUCUUCUUGGAUGAGUUGCGAACGGGUGAGUAACGCGUAGGUAACCUGCCUUGUAGCGGGGGAUAACUAUUGGAAACGAUAGCUAAUACCGCAUAACAAUGGAUGACACAUGUCAUUUAUUUGAAAGGGGCAAUUGCUCCACUACAAGAUGGACCUGCGUUGUAUUAGCUAGUAGGUGAGGUAAUGGCUCACCUAGGCGACGAUACAUAGCCGACCUGAGAGGGUGAUCGGCCACACUGGGACUGAGACACGGCCCAGACUCCUACGGGAGGCAGCAGUAGGGAAUCUUCGGCAAUGGGGGCAACCCUGACCGAGCAACGCCGCGUGAGUGAAGAAGGUUUUCGGAUCGUAAAGCUCUGUUGUAAGUCAAGAACGGGUGUGAGAGUGGAAAGUUCACACUGUGACGGUAGCUUACCAGAAAGGGACGGCUAACUACGUGCCAGCAGCCGCGGUAAUACGUAGUUCCCGAGCGUUGUCCGGAUUUAUUGGGCGUAAAGCGAGCGCAGGCGGUUUUGAUAAGUCUGAAGUUAAAGGCUGUGGCUCAACCAUAGUUCGCUUUGGAAAACUGUCAAACUUGAGUGCAGAAGGGGAGAGUGGGAAUUNCCAUGUGUAGCGGUGAAAUGCGUAGAUAUAUGGAGGAACACCGGUGGCGAAAGCGGCUCUCUGGUCUGUAACUGACGCUGAGGCUCGAAAGCGUGGGGAGCGAACAGGAUUAGAUACCCCUGGUAGUCCACNGCCGUAAACGAUGAGUGCUAGGUGUUGGGAUCCCUUUCCGGGAUUCAGUGNCCGCAGCUAACGCAUUAAGCACUCCGCCUGGGGAGUACGACCGCAAGGUUGAAACUCAAAGGAAUUGACGGGGGCCCGCACAAGCGGUGGAGCAUGUGGUUUAAUUCGAAGCAACGCGAAGAACCUUACCAGGUCUUGACAUCCCGAUGCUAUUUCUAGAGAUAGAAAGUUACUUCGGUACAUCGGUGACAGGUGGUGCAUGGUUGUCGUCAGCUCGUGUCGUGAGAUGUUGGGUUAAGUCCCGCAACGAGCGCAACCCCUAUUGUUAGUUGCCAUCAUUCAGUUGGGCACUCUAGCGAGACUGCCGGUAAUAAACCGGAGGAAGGUGGGGAUGACGUCAAAUCAUCAUGCCCCUUAUGACCUGGGCUACACACGUGCUACAAUGGUUGGUACAACGAGUUGCGAGUCGGUGACGGCGAGCUAAUCUCUUAAAGCCAAUCUCAGUUCGGAUUGUAGGCUGCAACUCGCCUACAUGAAGUCGGAAUCGCUAGUAAUCGCGGAUCAGCACGCCGCGGUGAAUACGUUCCCGGGCCUUGUACACACCGCCCGUCACACCACGAGAGUUUGUAACACCCGAAGUCGGUGAGGUAACCUUUUGGAGCCAGCCGCCUAAGGUGGGACAGAUGAUUGGGGUGAAGUCGUAACAAGGUAGCCGUAG
rnacentral:rRNA from 1 species